UACGUAGGGCGCAAGCGUUGUUCGGAUUUACUGGGCGUAAAGGGCGCGUAGGCGGUCGUGACAAGUCACUUGUGAAAUCUCCGGGCUUAACUCGGAACGGUCAAGUGAUACUGUCGGACUAGAGUACAGAAGGGGCAACUGGAAUUCUCGGUGUAGCGGUGAAAUGCGUAGAUAUCGAGAGGAACACCUGCGGCGAAGGCGGGUUGCUGGGCUGAUACUGACGCUGAGGCGCGAAAGCCAGGGGAGCGAACGGG
rnacentral:rRNA from 1 species